GAUGAAGAACGCAGCAAAAUGCGAUAAGUAAUGUGAAUUGCAGAAUUCAGUGAAUCAUCGAAUCUUUGAACGCUCAUUGCGCCCGCCAGUAUUCUGGCGGGCAUGCCUGUUCGAGCGUCAUUUCAACCCUCAAGCACAGCUUGGUGUUGGGACUCGCGUUAAUUCGCGUUCCCCAAAUUGAUUGGCGGUCACGUCGAGCUUCCAUAGCGUAGUAGUAAAACCCACGUUACUGGUAAUCGUCGCGGCCACGCCGUUAAACCCCAACUUCUGAAUGUUGACCUCGGAUCAGGUAGGAAUACCCGCUGAACUUAAGCAUAUCAAUAAGCGGAGGA
rnacentral:misc_RNA from 1 species